GACGUAGGGCGCAAGCGUUGUCCGGAAUUAUUGGGCGUAAAGAGCGUGUAGGCGGUCCGAUAAGUCGGCUGUGAAAGUCCAGGGCUCAACCCUGGGAUGCCGGUCGAUACUGUCGGACUAGAGUUCGGAAGAGGCGAGUGGAAUUCCCGGUGUAGCGGUGAAAUGCGCAGAUAUCGGGAGGAACACCUAUGGCGAAGGCAGCUCGCUGGGACGUUACUGACGCUGAGACGCGAAAGCGUGGGGAGCAAACAGG
rnacentral:rRNA from 1 species